AGAUUGAGUUGCUUACAGAAACUUGGGGAAUGAAACCAGAGAAUGUCAUUAACAUCCUACAGAGCAUGAAAGAAGAAUCAUCUAACAACCAACCACUGAAACAGGACUUUACAACGGAAGAAACUGUGAGUCGUUUAAAGACACCACUUGGUAGAAUCCAGAGAUGGUUCUUGAAAUAUCUUCUACCAAAAUGCCACGCUGCUGUUGGUAAUAGAGAGAAAAGUAAGGUAAAUAAUGGACUUAUCUGAAA